GAUGAACGCUGGCGGCGUGCCUAAUACAUGCAAGUCGAACGAGGUGCUUUUGUAGCAAUACGAGAGUAUCCUAGUGGCGAACGGGUGAGUAACGCGUUGGUGACCUACCCCAAAGUGUGGGAUAACAGUCCGAAAGGAUUGCUAAUACCGCAUGUGGUUAUUGGAUUUAGAAACCGAUAACUAAAGGAGCAAUUCGCUUUGGGAGGGACCUGCGUCCCAUCAGCUAGUUGGUGAGGUAAUGGCUCACCAAGGCUACGACGGGUAGGGGACCUGAGAGGGUGACCCCCCACAAUGGAACUGAAACACGGUCCAUACACCUACGGGUGGCGGCAGUAGGGAAUAUUGCACAAUGGGCGAAAGCCUGAUGCAGCAACGCCGCGUGCACGAUGAAGGCCUUCGGGUCGUAAAGUGCUUUUCUGGGAGAUGAGAAAGGACAGUAUCCCAGGAAUAAGUCUCGGCUAACUACGUGC
rnacentral:rRNA from 1 species